rnacentral:rRNA from 1 species
AAUCAACGCUGGCGGCGUGCCUAACACAUGCAAGUCGAACGCGAAAGGGGCUUCGGCCCUGAGUAGAGUGGCGAACGGGUGAGUAACACGUGGGUGACCUACCUUCGAGUGGGGGAUAACGUCCCGAAAGGGACGCUAAUACCGCAUGACAUCCCGCCUUUGAACAGGUGGAGAUCAAAGCUGGGGAUCGCAAGACCUGGCGCUUGAUGAGGGGCCCGCGUCUGAUUAGCUAGUUGGUGAGGUAACGGCUCACCAAGGCGACGAUCAGUAUCCGGCCUGAGAGGGCGGACGGACACACUGGGACUGAGACACGGCCCAGACUCCUACGGGAGGCAGCAGUGGGGAAUUGUUUGCAAUGGGCGCAAGCCUGACGACGCAACGCCGCGUGGAGGAUGAAGGUCUUCGGAUUGUAAACUCCUGUUGCCCGGGACGAAUGGCUCCGACCUAACACGUCGGAGUGUGACGGUACCGGGUGAGGAAGCCCCGGCUAACUCUGUGCCAGCAGCCG